rnacentral:rRNA from 1 species
GACGAACGCUGGCGGCGUGCUUAACACAUGCAAGUCGAACGGAAAUGCCCUGCUUUUGUGGGGUGCUCGAGUGGCGAACGGGUGAGUAACACGUGAGUAACCUGCCCUUUACUUUGGGAUAACUUCAGGAAACUGGGGCUAAUACCGGAUAUGAGCUCCUGCUGCAUGGUGGGGGUUGGAAAGUUUCGGCGGUUGGGGAUGGACUCGCGGCUUAUCAGCUUGUUGGUGGGGUAGUGGCUUACCAAGGCUUUGACGGGUAGCCGGCCUGAGAGGGUGACCGGCCACAGUGGGACUGAGAUACGGCCCAGACUCAUACGGGAGGCAGCAGUGGGGAAUAUUGCAAAAUGGGCGGAAGCCUGAUGCAGCAACGCCGCGUGCGGGAUGACGGCCUUCGGGUUGUAAACCGCUUUCGCCUGUGACGAAGCGUGAGUGACGGUAAUGGGUAAAGAAGCACCGGCUAACUACGUG